UUGAGAAAUUUAAAGCAUAUAUGAAUUUUAGUUUUCCGAAAAAUAAUUUAAACAGGUUAUUCGGACUCACAAGGAUCUGAACCAAAAUAUAUAAAUAUACGAAUGAAUUUAAAUUUUUAAGCUCGAAAACCCAAAAUCUGAAUAGACCUAAACCAAACUUGAAUGGAUAUCCAAACGCCCACCCCUAUAUUAGAAAGAAGUAGCCAUUUAGAUUUG
rnacentral:lncRNA from 1 species